GAUGAACGCUAGCGGCAGGCCUAACACAUGCAAGUCGAGGGGUAGAGCUAGCUUUCUAACUUGAGACCGGCGCACGGGUGCGUAACGCGUAUGCAAUCUACCUUGUACAGGGGGAUAGCACUGAGAAAUUUGGCUUAAUAUCCCAUGGUGUUUAGAAGUGCCAUCACUUUUUUACUAACGUUCCAACGGUACAAUCUGAGCAUGCGUUCCCUUAGCUAGUUGGUAUGGUAACGGCAUACCAAGGCUAUGAUGGGUAGGGGUCCUGAGAGGGAGAUCCCCCACACAGGUACUGAGACACGGACCAGACUCCUACGGGAGGCAGCAGUAGGGAAUAUUGGGCAAUGGUCGCAAGACUGACCCAGCCAUGCCGCGUGCAGGAAGACGGCCCUAUGGGUUGUAAACUGCUUUUAUCAGGGAAGAAACCCUUCUAUGCGUAGGAGGCUGACGGUACCUGAGGAAUAAGGAUCGGCUAACUCCGUGCCAGCCGCCGCAGUAACAC
rnacentral:rRNA from 1 species